GGUUGUCGUCAGCUCGUGUCGUGAGAUGUUGGGUUAAGUCCCGCAACGAGCGCAACCCCUAUUGUUAGUUGCCAUCAUUCAGUUUGGGCACUCUAGCGAGACUGCGGUAAUAACCGGAGGAAGGUGGGAUGACGUCAAUCAUCAUGCCCCUUAUGACCUGGGCUACACACGUAGCUACAAUGGUUGGUACAACGAGUUGCGAGUCGGUGACGGCGAGCUAAUCUCUUAAAGCCAAUCUCAGUUCGGAUUGUAGGCUGCAACUCGCCUACAUGAAGUCGGAAUCGCUAGUAAUCGCGGAUCAGCACGCCGCGGUGAAUACGUUCCCGGGCCUU
rnacentral:rRNA from 1 species